UAUUUGUUUUUCCUUGCAUGAGGGCUUUAGUUCUCUCUUUGGGUGGAAAAUAUAUCCUCUUCUUAGGAGUGGCUUUAUACACCUGAAGCUUAUGGGUAGACAGAAGCUUAAGGAGGAAGUAAUAUCUGCAAAGAAAAAAGAAUGGACAGUUUUCCUCGCUUUGCUUUGCUUUAAACAUGAAGUAGCAGAAACGCUCGAGGGGAGAAGCUGCUGAAGCGAAAGACCUUUUCAGCUGGAAGAAGUUCUCCUCAUUGCUCCACCAUUGUUGCUGUUCAGUUAAUAGGGACUGAAAAGGUGAAAGUCCAGAAGAUUUGGGAUCAACUGAACUCAAAGCCUGUUCUUUUCUCUCAAAUUGAUGGGAAACUGUACAGUCCUGAAGCUACCAGCCUAGUCCCACAAAUACACUGUUUUGAAAUGAGCUUUUAAAUGACAAUCAUAUACUGCACACUUUAAUAAUGUUCUGAGGAAACAAGAACAGAAAUUGUGCUGGCAUGUGUACAUGUGGUUUAUUCUUUUCACUAUACUUUGGAUAUUGAAAGUUGGUAUAUUUUAUUAUGGCUAAAGCAUAUAUUGGUAGAAAUUUGUUGGGAAAGAUCCUGCUAUGUGUUAGUAGGAUCUUUCCCAACAAAUGAAAAGCCACUGCACUGAGAAAGAAAUUGUAACAUUUCUGUCUCACCUUUUAUCACAGUAUCUUCAAAACAUUUGAAUGAGCCUCCUGAUAUAGAUGGAGAACAUGUUUUGUACAUUGCUAUGCUUGGACUUAAGAGAAAAGAAAUCUGGGUUCUCUGCUGAGCUCUAAAGCCUGUAUUUCUCACUGACUUUUAAUGUAGAUGAUUAUAAUGUGGACAAAAUAGUGUAAACAUACUUGAACUACUUUGCACUUUUUAGGAUGUAAUAUGUCACAUAUAUUGGAGAGAGCAAUGAGAAUCAUAUGAAAUUAAAGGGGGAAAUGUUCUUUUUAAUGGCAGCCACUUAAUGUUUCCAAUGUCACCAUUCUGAUGCUGAACAGGCUGAAAUUGACCAAAUGUAGAUGAUUAUAAUGUGGACAAAAUAGUGUAAACAUACUUGAACUACUUUGCACUUUUUAGGAUGUAAUAUGUCACAUAUAUUGGAGAGAGCAAUGAGAAUCAUAUGAAAUUAAAGGGGGAAAUGUUCU
rnacentral:lncRNA from 1 species